rnacentral:rRNA from 1 species
UACGUAGGCAGCGAGCGUUGUUCGGAAUUACUGGGCGUAAAGAGUGUGUAGGUGGUGCUCCCAGUCUGUUGUGAAAUCUCCCGGCUUAACUGGGAGGGUGCAGCGGAAACUAGAGUGCUAGAGGGUGGGAGAGGUAAGCGGAAUUCCUGGUGUAGCGGUGAAAUGCGCAGAUAUCAGGAAGAACACCUAUGGCGAAGGCAGCUCUCUGGGACGGUACUGACGCUGAGACGCGAAAGCGUGGGGAGCGAACAGG